UUUGUAUACAAGAUUUUCACUUGUUGAGAGUUCCUUUAGUUUUGUGUAGCCAGGAUUCUUUUGAAGCACUUCUUUUAACUUGGUCUAGAAUGGCUCUUCCUUCAAAUCUUGAGUCAGAUUUUCUACUAUGGUUAGGCUGGUAAGAAAAGGCAAUCUUUCCUCAAGUGCAGCUAUUCCCAAAGGAAUCAUUAUUAAUUACUUCUUGUUCUCUUCUGGUUGCUGCCAAAUCUUCAUCAAGGCUGUUGAAAUAUUCUCUGAAGACGUCAAAGUGAUGGUAGUAGUAUUCCACUGCUUUUUACCAAGUUCCCUAUCCUGUUAUAAUUGAAUUCAAAAACAUCUUCUUCACAUUGGAAAUAAGCAUUUUAAGGACCGACGGUAUUUUUUUUCAAACGUCAAUAAAAUUAGGAAGUAGGGUUAAUAUUUUUAUUUUUUAUUAAAUGUUUCUGUACAAAAAAUAGUAUCAAUUAGGUAUCAAUUUUAAUUUUAUUAAAUUUUCAAUAAAACGAUAUGUAAAUCAAGUCCUUCCCUAUCAGUACACAUGGCUACCUAAAGGCAGGAAUUUAUCUAGAAGUGGGAAUUUUCGAUUCUGUUUGUCACUCGAGACAUACUUUUUUAGACGUCCAUUGCAUAAAAGUUAUGCAAGAAACAACUAAACAAACAGUUUUAUUCUAAAGUCCUGACCACUAUCUAUCAUUUGAACGUAAAUAAUAUUUUUUUUUAAUGUAAAGGGUUUUCCAAUAAGAGGUGUUAUUUUGAUAUUCAAAGAAAAUUUGUUUUUUUUUAGAUAAAUAAUCGGAUAUUUAUUUCGAUGUA
rnacentral:lncRNA from 1 species